GAUGAAGAACGUAGCGAAAUGCGACAAGUAAUGCGAAUUGCAGAAUCCGUGAGUCAUCGAGUCUUUGAACGCACAUUGCGCCCCCUGGUAUUCCGGGGGGCAUGCCUGUCCGAGCGUCAUUGCUGCCCUCAAGCACGGCUUGUGUGUUGGGCCUCCGUCCUCCUCCCGGGGGACGGGCCCGAAAGGCAGCGGCGGCACCGCGUCCGGUCCUCGAGCGUAUGGGGCUUCGUCACCCGCUCUUGUAGGCCCGGCCGGCGCUUGCCGAAACAUCAAUCUUUUUUCCAGGUUGACCUCGGAUCAGGUAGGGAUACCCGCUGAACUUAAGCAUAUCAAUAAGCGGAGGA
rnacentral:misc_RNA from 1 species